GAUGAAGAACGCAGCGAAAUGCGAUAAGUAAUGUGAAUUGCAGAAUUCAGUGAAUCAUCGAAUCUUUGAACGCACCUCGCGCCCUUUGGCUAUUCUGAAGGGCAUGCCUGUUUGAGUAUCGUGAACACCUCAACUCUCAUGGUCUGCCAUGAUGAGCUUGGACUUUGGGGGUCUUGCUGGCCUACUGUCAGCUCCUCUCAAAUGAAUCAGCUUACCAGUGUUUGGUGGCACCACAGGUGUGAUAACUAUCUACGCUUGUGGUUUUCUGCCAGGUAACCUCCAGUGAUGGAGGUUCGCUGGAGCUCACAAAUGUCUCUCCUCAGCGAGGACAGCUUUUUGAACGUUUGAUCUCAAAUCAGGUAGGACUACCCGCUGAACUUAAGCAUAUCAAUAAGCGGAGGA
rnacentral:misc_RNA from 1 species